rnacentral:rRNA from 1 species
CAGCAGCCGCGGUAAUACGAAGGGUGCAAGCGUUACUCGGAAUUACUGGGCGUAAAGCGUGCGUAGGUGGUGGUUUAAGUCCGUUGUGAAAGCCCUGGGCUCAACCUGGGAAUUGCAGUGGAUACUGGGUCACUAGAGUGUGGUAGAGGAUAGUGGAAUUUCCGGUGUAGCAGUGAAAUGCGUAGAGAUCGGAAGGAACAUCUGUGGCGAAGGCGGCUAACUGGUCCAUUACUGACGCUGAGGUGCGAAAGCGUGGGGAGCAAACAGGAUUAGAUACCCCGGUAGUCCCUGUCUCUUAUAC